GGGGGGGGGGGCAAGCGUUGUUCGGAAUUACUGGGCGUAAAGGGCGUGUAGGCGGCCCUGCAAGUCUUUCGUGAAAUCCCACAGCUCAACUGUGGAACUGCGAGGGAAACUGCAGGACUUGAGUCCGGGAGAGGAGAGUGGAAUUCCCAGUGUAGCGGUGAAAUGCGUAGAUAUUGGGAGGAACACCGGUGGCGAAGGCGGCUCUCUUGACCGGCACUGACGCUGAGGCGCGAAAGCUAGGGGAGCAAACGGGAUUAGAUACCCCGGUAGUCCUAGCCUUAAACGAUGAGCACUUGGUGUGGCGGGUAUCGACCCCUGCCGUGCCGAAGCUAACGCAUUAAGUGCUCCGCCUGGGGAGUACGGUCGCAAAGGCUG
rnacentral:rRNA from 1 species